rnacentral:rRNA from 1 species
AACUUUCAACAAAGGAUCUCUUGGCUCUCGUAUCGAUGAAGAACGCAGCAAAGCGCGAAAUGUAAUGUGAAUUGCAGAACAUUGUGAAUCAUCGAAUCUUUGAACGCACAUUGCGCCUCCCGUCAAUGGGAGGCAUGCCUGUCUGAGCGUCGUUU